rnacentral:misc_RNA from 1 species
GAUGAAGAACGCAGCGAAAUGCGAUAAGUAAUGUGAAUUGCAGAAUUCAGUGAAUCAUCGAAUCUUUGAACGCACAUUGCGCCCGCCAGUAUUCUGGCGGGCAUGCCUGUUCGAGCGUAAUUACAACCCUCAGGCCCCCGGGCCUGGCGUUGGGGAUCGGCGGAAGCCCCCUGUGGGCACACGCCGUCCCUCAAAUACAGUGGCGGUCCCGCCGCAGCUUCCAUUGCGUAGUAGCUAACACCUCGCAACUGGNNNNCGGCGCGGCCAUGCCGUAAAACACCCAACUUCUGAAUGUUGACCUCGAAUCAGGUAGGAAUACCCGCUGAACUUAAGCAUAUCAAUAAGCGGAGGA